rnacentral:rRNA from 1 species
CACGUAGGGCGCGAGCGUUGUCCGGAAUUAUUGGGCGUAAAGAGCUCGUAGGCGGCCUGUUGCGUCCGCUGUGAAAGCCCGGGGCUUAACCCCGGGUCUGCAGUGGAUACGGGCAGGCUAGAGGGAGGUAGGGGAGAAUGGAAUUCCCGGUGUAGCGGUGAAAUGCGCAGAUAUCGGGAGGAACACCGGUGGCGAAGGCGGUUCUCUGGGCCUUACCUGACGCUGAGGAGCGAAAGCGUGGGGAGCGAACAGG